GUCUACUUGUCUGCAUCCUGCUCCUGCCCUGGGUCUGGGAGCUCCUCAAGGGCAGGAAUGGAGUGACUUCCCUCUCUGUGCACCCAGGACAGGGCUGGACAGGAGAAGGGAAGCCCAAGGAGUGGUGAAGAGCCCCGAAGGAAGGGACUAAACUCCAGCCAUCUGUCCCGCGGUGUCUGUUCAUACUCCUCCUCCGUGCACGGGCUCAGACAUACAUAUGCGCAUAUGCUCUGUCUCUUUCUGGUUGAAGGUCCUGGGAGCCCUCCGGAACUCUGCUGCCUGGCAGUCCUUCAGUUUCGGGAGCUUUUCUGUCUGCCCGUGGCCUCGGCUGCCACCUGGUGGCUGCACGCUCCAAAGGAAGCGUAGAUUGAUGAGAGCCUCGGAAGUUGAGCUUCAGGCGCGGCUCUUCCCCGUCACACUGGGACCGGACGCAUUUCCAUGGCGUGGUCCCAGGAACCUCUCAGAGUGAACUGAAUUGGAUGCAAGAUCACGGUGCGUCAGAGCUAGCAAGAUCCUUAGGAUCAUUUAGCCUGGUUUACUAAUAUUACACUAUGGAAUUUAAGCCCAAGGAAUGGAGAGUACCCGACGAGCGUUAUGUAAGGAGUCGAGUGAGAAGUAAGCUGGAUGCUCUGCUUGGCUGGCAGGUACAGAAUGUGCCAGACCCAUCUGUACCAGCCUGGAUCUCUUGAGGCAUCAGCACAAUGGACCUGGCCACACCAGUUUAUUCCACACCGCUGAGGCUGGUCUUUGAGGAAUCACCACACUGUCUUCCACAAUGCACCAUGGAAUACUAUGCAGACAUAAAAAGGAAUGAGAUCAUGUCGUUUGCAGGGACAUGGAUGGAGCUAGAAGCCAUUAUCCUCAGAAAACUAACACAGGAACAGAAAACCAAAUACCACAUGUUCUCACUUAUAAGUGGGAGCUGAAUGAUGAGAACACAUGGACACGUGGUGCGGGAACAAUACACCUGGGGCCUGUUGGAGGGUGGGGGCUGGGAGGAGGGAGAGCAUCAAGAAUAGCUAAUGAGGCCAGGCACAGUGGCUCACGCCUGUAAUCCUAGCAUUUUGGGAGGCUGAGGCGGGCAGAUCAUUUGAGGUCAGGAGUUUGAGACCAGCCUGGCCAAUAUGGUGAAACCCCGUCUCUAUUAAAAAUACAAAAAUAUUAGCCAGGCAUGGUGGCAAUGCCCGUAGUCCCUGCAACUUGGGAGGCUGAGGCAGGAGAAUCGUUUGAACCUGGGAGGUGGAGUUUGCAGUGAGCCAAGAUCGCGCCACUGCACUCCAGCCUGGGCGACAGAGUGAGGCUCCAUUAAAAAAAAAAAAAAAAAAAGAAGAGCAAAUGAAUGCUGGGCAUAAUAUCUAGAUGAUGGGAUGAUCUGUGCAGCAAACCACUAUGGCACAUGUUUACCUAUGUAACAAACCUGCACAUCCUCCACAUGUACCCCUGAACUUAAGAGUUGGAAAUCAAAAAGAAAAAAGGUAUUAACUCAAAAUAAAAACAGUGUGUACUAUUUUUCUAAUCAGCAAAUGUUAUUUUAUUUUUUACUAUUAUUUUUAGAGUCGAUAUCUUGCUCUGUCACACAGUCUGGAGUGCAGUGGCAUGAUUAGCUUUGAAUUCCUGUUCAAGUGAUCCUCCCACCUCAGUCUCCAGAGUAGCUAGGGCUACAGGCAGUGCUGCCACACCUGGAUAAUUUUUAAAUUUUUUAUAGAGUUGGGGUCUUGCUAUGUUGCCCAGGCUUGUCUCAGACUCCUGGCCUUAAGUGAUCCUCCUGCCUCUGUCUUCUGAGUCGCUGGAUUACAGGUAUGAGCCACCAUGCUCAGCAGAAAAUUAAAUUUUUUUUUAACAAGUCAUUAGUUCCUGGGAAUUCUAUUUCACUUCCAAAUCCACCUCAUUUUGCAGUGCCCUGUUCUUAGUAGUCCUGGUUUAGGAAGAGUCGUGUUUCACAUGAUCAAGGUAGCCAACACAAUGAAAGUUGAGUUCACAGAGUAUUUAUUUAUUUUGGUCCCUCACAGAGUAUCUAUUUAUUUUUGGUCCCUCACAGAGUAUUUGUUUAUUUUUGUUCCCUCAAAUAAUUCAGCACAAUUAAAUUCAGCAAAUAUUUAUUGAACACUUGGAGAUGAUGAUGGAAAAUUAUGUUCACAUGGUGCCAUUUGGUACAACGGAAAUGGCAUGAGAUUUGGACCAAACCAGAAUUGUCUUAAAUCCUGGCUUUGUUAGUUUUAGGUAUGUCAUCUUGAGCAGUUCACUUCACUUUUUGAGCCACAAUUUCUCUUCCUUACAUAAAGAUAUUUAUAAAUACCCCACAGGUUGUUAUAAUAAAGGUUGAAGAUGCUUGGCACAUAAGCAAAAAUUAUGAAUAAAUAUGUAUUAAAAUAUAAAAUAACUACAAAAUAAAAUAAAAAUAUUGUUUUUCU
rnacentral:lncRNA from 10 species